AUGGCGUCUGGGGGCCCGGAGUGUGGGAGAGAGGAAGAGGACGAGAAAGUAAGACGCCGGCCACUCUGAAGCCGGCCUUUGUGUCCCGGAAGCGGCCCCUGGGGAAGGCUGGCCCGAAGGAGGAAGAGAAGGAGCUCUCUGCUGUGGCCUGGGAAAGCAGUAGAAGAUGGCCCGAGUGCCUGGGCCCCUGCACCUGCAUGGGAGACCCCGAGGAAGCUCCUGGCUUCGGAUUGGCACAGCUCCAGCUGUUUCAGCCAACUGGGGAGUGAACCAUCUGGUAGAAGACCUCUCUCUCUCUCUCUCCCUCUCUCUCUGCCUCUCCCCUCUGUGUAACUGACUUUCAAGUAAAUAAAUAAAUAAAUGAAUUUUUAAACAAAAGAAAAGAGAAAA